rnacentral:rRNA from 1 species
CGUAAUCACUUGUCUUUUAAAUGAAGACCUGUAUGAAUGGUAUGACGAGGGCUUGACUGUCUCCUCCCUCCAGUCAAUGAAAUUGAUCUCCCCGUGCAGAAGCGGGGAUAAGAACAUAAGACGAGAAGACCCUAUGGAGCUUCAGACGCUAGAACAGACCAUGUAAAGAAACAUAAAUUAAAAUACAAAACCUAGUGAUAUAUCCUGUUCCUAUGUCUUCGGUUGGGGCGACCAUGGGGAAAUACAAAACCCCCACGUGGAAUGAGAGAACUAGACCCCCUAAUGAACCUCUCACAAAUACAGAGCCACACCUCUAAUUACCAGAAUCUCUGACCAAUGAUGAUCCGGCAAUGCCGAUCAACGGACCAAGUUACCCUAGGGAUAACAGCGCAAUCCCCUUUUAGAGCCCUUAUCAACGAGGGGGUUUACGACCUCGAUGUUGGAUCAGGACAUCCUAAUGGUGCAGCCGCUAUUAAGGGUUCGUUUGUUCAACGAUUAAAGUCCUACGUGAUCUGAGUUCAGA